CCUANGGGAGGCAGCAGUGGGGAAUCUUGCGCAAUGGGGGAAACCCUGACGCAGCAACGCCGCGUGGGUGAUGAAGGCCUUCGGGUCGUAAAGCCCUGUCAGGUGGGAAGAAACAUGUCGAUGCAAAUAACAUCGACAUUUGACGGUACCACCGGAGGAAGCACCGGCUAACUCCGUGCCAGCAGCCGCGGUAAUACGGAGGGUGCAAGCGUUGUUCGGAAUUAUUGGGCGUAAAGCGCGUGCAGGCGGUUGGGUAAGUCAGAUGUGAAAGCCUUCCGCUUAACGGAAGAAGUGCAUUUGAAACUGCCCGGCUAGAGUACGGGAGAGGAGAGUGGAAUUCCCGGUGUAGAGGUGAAAUUCGUAGAUAUCGGGAGGAACACCAGUGGCGAAGGCGGCUCUCUGGUCCGAUACUGACGCUGAGACGCGAAAGCGUGGGGAGCAAACAGGAUUAGAUACCCUGNUANUC
rnacentral:rRNA from 1 species